AGUGAGCGCUGGCGGUAGGCCUAACACAUGCAAGUCGAACGGCAGCACAGUAAGAGCUUGCUCUUACGGGUGGCGAGUGGCGGACGGGUGAGGAAUACAUCGGAAUCUACUUUUUCGUGGGGGAUAACGUAGGGAAACUUACGCUAAUACCGCAUACGACCUACGGGUGAAAGCAGGGGAUCUUCGGACCUUGCGCGAUUGAAUGAGCCGAUGUCGGAUUAGCUAGUUGGCGGGGUAAAGGCCCACCAAGGCGACGAUCCGUAGCUGGUCUGAGAGGAUGAUCAGCCACACUGGAACUGAGACACGGUCCAGACUCCUACGGGAGGCAGCAGUGGGGAAUAUUGGACAAAGGGCGCAAGCCUGAUCCAGCCAUACCGCGUGGGUGAAGAAGGCCUUCGGGUUUUAAAGCCCUUUUGUUGGGAAAGAAAAGCAGCAGGUUAAUACCCCGCUGUUCUGACGUUACCCAAAGAAUAAGCACCGGCUAACUUCGUG
rnacentral:rRNA from 1 species